rnacentral:rRNA from 1 species
UAGUCAUAUGCUUGUCUCAAAGAUUAAGCCAUGCAUGUGUAAGCACAAGCCGUACUACGGUGAAGCCGCGAAUGGCUCAUUACAACAGCCAUAGUUUAUUAGAUCUUACUUUCCUACUUGGAUAACUGCGGUAAUUCUGGAGCUAAUACACGCGCACAGCUCGGACCUCGCGGAACGAGCGCAUUUAUUAGAACAAAAACCAAUCGGCCGCAAGGCCGGCUUCUUUGGCGAAUCUGAAUAACUCUGCGGAUCGCACGGUCUUGGCACCGGCGACGCAUCUUUCAAAUGUCUGCCUUAUCAACUUUCGACGGUACUCUAUGCGACUACCGUGGUGAUAACGGGUGACGGGGAAUAGGGUUCGACUCCGGAGAGGGAGCCUGAGAAACGGCUACCACAUCUAAGGAAGGCAGCAGGCGCGCAAAUUACCCACUCCCAGAACGGGGAGGUAGUGACGAAAUAUAACGAGGCGGUUCUCUUUCGAGGCCCGUCAUCGGAAUGGGUGCGAUUUAAACCAGCCCAACGAGGAUCUAUU